rnacentral:rRNA from 14 species
GAGCUGGGUUCAGAACGUCGUGAGACAGUUCGGUCCAUAUCCGGUGUAGGCGUUAGAGCAUUGAGAGAAGCUUUCCUUAGUACGAGAGGACCGGGAAAGAUACACCUCUGGUGUACCAGUUAUUGUGCCAACAGUAAACGCUGGGUAGCUACGUGUAGUUGGAUAACCGCUGAAAGCAUCUAAGUGGGAAGCCAUACUCAAGAUGAGU